UACGUAGGGGGCAAGCGUUGUCCGGAUUCAUUGGGCGUAAAGGGUGCGUAGGCGGCGGGGCAAGUCUGAUGUGAAAUCCCGGGGCUCAACCCCGGAACUGCAUUGGAUACUGCCCUGCUAGAGUACUGGAGAGGGAACUGGAAUUUACGGUGUAGCAGUGAAAUGCGUAGAGAUCGUAAGGAAGGCCAGUGGCGAAGGCGAGUUCCUGGACAGUGACUGACGCUGAGGCACGAAGGCCAGGGGAGCAAACGGG
rnacentral:rRNA from 1 species